rnacentral:rRNA from 1 species
AGUGAACGCUGGCGGCGUGCUUAACACAUGCAAGUCGAACGAGAACGGAUUAUAGCUUGCUAUAAUUGUCAGCUAAGUGGCGCACGGGUGAGUAAUGUAUAGGUAAUAUGUCUCUUACUAAGGGAUAACAAAUGGAAACGUUUGCUAAUACCUUAUACUCCUUAUUAACAGAAGUUAAUAAGGGAAAGAUUUAUUGGUAAGAGAUUAGCCUGUAUUGUAUGAGUUAGUUGGUGGGGUAUGGCUUACCAAGACUAUGACACAUAACUGGUUAGAGAGGAUGAUCAGUCACACUGGAACUGAGACACGGUCCAGACUCCUACGGGAGGCAGCAGUGGGGAAUAUUGCACAAUGGACGAAAGUCUGAUGCAGCAACGCCGCGUGGAGGAUGACACAUUUCGGUGCGUAAACUCCUUUUAUAUGAGAAGAUAAUGACGGUAUUAUAUGAAUAAGCACCGGCUAACUCCGUGCCAGCCGCCGCCGUAA